rnacentral:rRNA from 1 species
CAUGAAGCCGGAAUCGCUAGUAAUCGCGGAUCAGAAUGCCGCGGUGAAUACGUUCCCGGGUCUUGUACACACCGCCCGUCACACCAUGGGAGUCGGGAAUGCCCGAAGUCAGUGACCCAACCGAGAGGAGGGAGCUGUCGAAGGCGGGGCCGGUAACUGGGGUGAAGUCGUAACAAGGUAUC